rnacentral:tmRNA from 1 species
GGGGGCGACUGGCUUCGACGGGGAUGAAGAUGCCAGGGUUGCAUGCUGAGGUCCCGUUGGCUCAUAAAACAAACGGGAAAAUUUAACUGCCAACGAAGAAUUGGCACUCGCUGCCUAAUUAAGGCAACGGCGCUCUUCCUGGGAUUGUCUGUGUCGCAGGAAAGGGUGUAAUAAAA